GGACCUGACUGCUAUCGGAUUGAUACUAAGCCAUGCGAGUCAUUGUAGCAAUACAAGGCAUACGGCUCAGUAACGCGUAGUCAACCUAACCUAUGGACGGGAAUAACCUCGGGAAACUGAGAAUAAUGCCCGAUAGAACAUUAUGCCUGGGAUGGUUUAUGUUCCAAAUGAUUUAUCGCCGUAGGAUGGGACUGCGGCCUAUCAGUUUGUUGGUGAGGUAAUGGCCCACCAAGACUAUUACAGGUACGGGCUCUGAGAGGAGUAGCCCGGAGAUGGGUACUGAGACACGGACCCAGGCCCUAUGGGGCGCAGCAGGCGAGAAAACUUUGCAAUGUGCGAAAGCACGACAAGGUUAAUCCGAGUGGUUUCUGCUAAAGAAACCUUUUGUCAGUCCUAGAAACACUGAUGAAUAAGGGGUGGGCAAGUUCUGGUGU
rnacentral:rRNA from 1 species